rnacentral:rRNA from 1 species
GUAGGGAAUAUUGGUCAAUGGACGAAAGUCUGAACCAGCCAUUCCGCGUGCAGGAAGAAGAUUCUAUGGAUUGUAAACUGCUUUUAGCAGAGAAGAAACGCCUUCAUUGAUGAGGGUUUGACGGUAUCUGCGGAAUAAGCACCGGCUAACUCCGUGCCAGCAGCCGCGGUAAUACGGGGGGUGCAAGCGUUAUCCGGAAUCACUGGGUUUAAAGGGUGCGUAGGCGGGAAAUUAAGUCAGUGGUGAAAGUCUGUUGCUUAACGAUAGAAUUGCCGUUGAUACUGAUUUUCUUGAAUUGGGUUGAGGUUAGCGGAAUGUGACAUGUAGCGGUGAAAUGCAUAGAUAUGUCAUGGAACACCAAUUGCGAAGGCAGCUAGCUGGGCCUUGAUUGACGCUGAGGCACGAAAGCGUGGGUAGCGAACAGGAUUAGAUACCCUUGUAGUCC